UCCACCAUACAGUCUAAUCAACUAAGCAAAGAAUUGACACCGAUUAGGCGACUAAGUGUAUACCUAAUCGCAGGCAGACAACAGAUUAAAUAUUGAGCAGAAUCAAAGCAGCAGUAUGACAAUUAAAGUGUAAGAAUCUCAUGGAAACAAAGUAAUUUUAUUAACGACCAACCAACUAACCUAAGCUAACAUCACAAUUAAAUCAACACAAUUGAACAGAACAGACAACAUAAAAAAAAUAAAAAAUAAAAGCAAAUAUUUUAGUGACAAAAAUAUCUAAACAUAAUUAAAUGCAACACUUAAAUUAAAAUACUAAAUAAAUAAUGAAGCUAAAAUAAGAAGCAAUGGUUAAAAUGUCGUGCAACAAUUAAGCUACUAAAGAAGAGGCAUAAUGCAACUAAAAAAAAACAUUUAAACUAAAAAGUAAAAGCUAUUUACAAUUCAAUAUGGAAAUUGUAAAUUUAAAUUAACACCGUGCUUAACAUGAAAAUAAAAAUGGAAAUGCAAUGUUUUUUCUCAUUUAAAAGAAAAGAAAUGCCACCAAGCUGCUUCCUCAAAAAGAAUUCACGUUGGAAUGAAAUUAAAUGCACCGUACACCUACUUUGAAUAUAAAAUGAAAAUUAAAGAAAACAAUGUUCUAGCAUGCUAUUCCCAAAGCAAAUGAAAUUGUUCUUGUAAAAUGAAGUCAACCAAUUUCUAGCAACAGUAACAUGUUGGGAGAAAUAAAAGUGUGCCCACAAAACCAUCACAUCACUAGACUUCCAUCUAAUCUAUUUUUCAUUCCAAUAAAAAAAAGGAAAUGCUACUUCCCUACAUUUAGGACUGGACAAAAAUAACUGAUCUGUACUGUACUGCAGUUAACUGUACUAUAUUGUACUAAAAAUAACUAAUCCAUUUCUAGUAACAGUUCAGUGUACUAUCUUAUGGUUCAGUUUUUAAAAACUGAACUGAUAACAGUUACAGUUCAGUUAACUGUGAGAACUGUAUCUACUCUUACAGUUCAAUUGUUUAAUCUUGUCAAGAAAACUUUAUUUAAUAAUAAAAUAUUAAUAAAAAUAACUGUUCACAAAAAAAAAUAUUAAUUAAUUUUUUAAAACAACUUUUUUAUCACAAAAUUUAUAUUUUUAUCAAUAAAAAUAAAAAAUGUAAUUUAUAUUUUUNNNNNNNNNNNNNNNNNNNNNNNNNNNNNNNNNNNNNNNNNNNNNNNNNNNNNNNNNNNNNNNNNNNNNNNNNNNNNNNNNNNNNNNNNNNNNNNNNNNNNNNNNNNNNNNNNNNNNNNNNNNNNNNNNNNNNNNNNNNNNNNNNNNNNNNNNNNNNNNNNNNNNNNNNNNNNNNNNNNNNNNNNNNNNNNNNNNNNNNNNNNNNNNNNNNNNNNNNNNNNNNNNNNNNNNNNNNNNNNNNNNNNNNNNNNNNNNNNNNNNNNNNNNNNNNNNNNNNNNNNNNNNNNNNNNNNNNNNNNNNNNNNNNNNNNNNNNNNNNNNNNNNNNNNNNNNNNNNNNNNNNNNNNNNNNNNNNNNNNNNNNNNNNNNNNNNNNNNNNNNNNNNNNNNNNNNNNNNNNNNNNNNNNNNNNNNNNNNNNNUUAAUAGUUCAGUUCAGUUCAUACUGCAGUACAGUACAGUUUAGUACGGUUCAGUUUGAUAAAACAAAAAAUAGUUCAGUUCAGUUUGUCUGAAUAGUUUUACAGUUCAGUUCAGUUUGUCUGAACUGUAACAGUUCAGUUCAGUUUUUAGCAAUGCAUUACAGUUCAGUUCGAUUUGCCCACCCCUACCUACAUUAGCCGUAACAUCACUCAUUCUUCCAUCUAAUCUCUUCGUGCAAUGCAAAUCAAGAGAAAACUAGAACCAUAUUUCAGCAUCUCUUUCCAAAAGAAAAUGUUGCUGCAAAUAAAAAUAAAAGCAAGCCAAAUAUGAAGAUUGAAUCUCCAUUAGACGUGACAGCUCAUACAAAAUGAAAAGCACCAUAGCAUUCAAGAUAAGCUCAAAAGGAAGAGAAAAAAAAACGUUCCAGCUUUGUAAAAAAAAAUAAAAACGAAAGAGAGAACAAAUUCUUUCUUUUUUCAACCCAUCAAGACUCAACCGUGAGCUACAUUUGUUCUCCAAAAUAAAAUUGUUCCCAAGCAAAAGUCCAAAAUGUGGUGUCCGCUGCACACUAUCUCCAAUUGCCGAGAGAAUGUAUGAUAUCCCAAAAAGUGACGGCUGGACAUUACUAAGAGGCCAAGUGUUGCCUCUAAAAUGGGUGGGGUCCACCCUAAAAUAAAAGGAAACCCUAGGGUUUGGUGCCAAGUGUCCCUCAAAAUUUGGGCCUAUCAUGAAAUUUGCCAACAUUGGCCCACAAUGUAAAAGUUUGUCUAAAAUGUUUAAAAUUUUAAAUUACAAGAUAACUAAAAUUUAAAAUGUCUAAAUUAGAGAGUCUUGAAUUUAUUUAGUGUCCUCCAAAUGUCCCAAAUUGUGUUUCCAAAAUUUUCCCUGAAAAUAAUAAUGCGAAUAAUUAGCUCAGAAAAUUCAAUUAAUUAAAAUUAGAAUUUCAGGUCAAAUUAAGCAUAAUUAGGAAAAACGGGAAAAUACCGGACAAUUAAGCACAAUUCCUUGAUUAAUUCUAGCACAAUAAACUAAGUGAAAUCAAUAAAAUAUCGACUCAUCACUCACCUUAUAAGCCGGUUUUGUGGGGUGAGUUAGGCUUAAAAAACUCACUUUCUAAUAUGGUAUCAAAGCUUAGGUUUCGUUCCAGCCUCUUCCAAGGCCUCCGGUACUCAUUACCGUCGUAGCCACCGCAGUUGUCGUCGCCGUCGUCGUCGUCGCCACCGUCGCCGCCAUCGCCGCUGUCGUCGCCGGAGUUCCAGAAUCGAUCGACGACCACUCCAUCCGAAGCGCCUCGGCCGGGCGACCACCGUGGGCCAAAGAUCGCGGCGAUCGGAGCUCCCACGCGCCACAGCAAAAGUCGUAGCACCGCCGCUUCCCGCCGCGCGUGUCGACACGUCGCCAGAGCUUUCCGCCGUCAGCCAGCACCGCCGUGAUCGCCUCCUCGCCCUCUUUCCAUAUCUGUGGUCGUUGCGUCAAUCGGAGCACCUUGGAUUUUUAGGGUUUCUCUCUCUCCAUGGUGUCUUCCGCGUCUACAAACACCUCUUGUAGUGUCUCAUCUGCUUAUGCUGGUGCCUCAUCUGAUUCCCCAAUAUACACCAAUUAUAUGAAUGUACACUGGUCCAUUGACAAGUUAGAUGGCACGAAUUAUGCAACAUGGGCAUUCGACAUCAAACUUUGGUUGAAGAGUUAAGGGUAUGUAGAUCACCUUACUAAAAAUGUGAUUAAUGCUACCACAGAUGAAAAUUCCCGCUGGAUGAAAAUUGAUGUCCAGUUAUGCAUUGUCAUAAAGUCCAUCAUUCACUCUUCUCUGAAACAAAUGUUUCGAUCAUAUGAAACAUGUUCAGAAGUAUGGGCACAAGCGAAGUUAUUAUACACGAAUGACACCUAGCGCCUUUAUGGUGUUUGUCAGGAUCUAUUCACUAUUAUUGGUCUGUGCAAUCCUGGUCCCAUGGCAGAAUAUUUGGGUAAAAUUCAUGCCCUCCUUCAUGAUUUUAAUGAGUUAUUACCUCCUGCUUCCACUCCUGCUGAAGAAUUGGAACAACGAGCAAAGUUCUUCAUGUUGUUGGCAUUAUACAUACUCUCUGAUGAUUCCUCCCAUGUCCUUGAUCAGAUUUUAGGUUCUCCUAUCAUACCCAACUUUACUUCUACUUGUUAUGCUCUUUUGCGUAUUCCGACCAAACUAGUCUUUGAGACAUCUCCUCAUAUUGAUGAUUCCUCUGUUAUAGCUGCCCAACGUGAUGAUAAAAGUCGGUCUUGCAAGCCAGGUAAAGGACGACCAAAAUGUGACCACUAUGGCAAGCUAGGGCACAAAAUUGAUAGAUGUUAUGCGCUUCAUGGACGUCCUCCUCGAUCUACAGCAAUGGCUAAUUCUGAUCUACCUCCUCGGCCUACAAAUCAUCAUACUUCAUCAAAUACUGUAGAUAACCUUGCAAUCUUCAACGAAUUUCUCAAAUGGUAUGAGGAUCGUCAGCAAUCUAGUUCCACUACAUCUGCAUCUGUUGCACGCACAGGUACACCUUUUCUUGGUCUGGCUCACUCCCUCAGAUCUUGGGUCCUUGACUCAAGCGCCACCGAUCAUAUAACUGGUAACAAGUCCUUGUUUUCUUCGUUGUCAUGUCCGGAUAAUUUACCCUCGGUCAUAAUGGCUGAUGGGUCUAGAGUCUCAUCUCAUGGUAUUGAUACUAUUCAUAUUUUUCCGUCCAUAUCCAUUAAUCAUGUACUUUAUGUCCCUAGGUCUCCCUUCAACUUAUUAUCCAUAAGUCGUCUAACUCGUUCCCUUAAUUGUGUUAUUUCAUUUACCAAAGAUUCUGUUUGUUUGCAGGACCAGAGUUCGAAACACAUGAUUGACACAAGAUAUGAGUCUCAUGUCCUAUAUCUUCUCUGCCCUUCUCCAGAUGUUGGCGUCAUCAUGGAGUCACCAUCCCUUCUUCAUGCUCAGUUAGGUCAUCCUAGUCUUGCCAAACUGCAGCACCUUGUUCCGAGUUUGUCGAAGUUAUCAAGUUUGACGUGUGAGUCUUGUCAGUUAGGAAAACAUACUGGUAGUUGCUUUCCUCGUAGUGUUUCACAACGAGCGUUGUCCCCUUUUUCAUUAGUUCAUUCUGAUAUUUGGGGACCUAGUCGUGUUAAGUCAACUUUAGGAUUUUAGUAUUUUGUUACGUUUAUUGAUGACUAUUCCAGAUGUACUUGGUUGUUUUUAAUGAAAAAUCAUUCUGAGUUGUUUUCUAUUUUCCAAUCUUUUUCCAAUGAAAUAAAAACACAGUUUGGGGUUUCUAUUCGAACUUUACGCAGUGAUAAUGGUCGUGAAUACCUUUCUCAACCGUUUAAACAUUUUAUGGCUUCUCAUGGCAUUCUUCACCAGACCUCAUGUGCUUAUACUCCUCAACAAAAUGGGGUGGCUGAGCGCAAGAAUAAACACCUUAUUGAAACAACUCGUACACUUUUAAUCCAUGGCCAAGUACCCUGGCGUUUUUGGGGUGAUGCAGUUCUCACUGCAUGUUAUCUCAUAAACCACAUGACGUCUUUUGUCCUAGAUAACAAAAUCCCUCAUUCUGUCUUAUUUCCUCAAGACCCUUUACAUCCAUUACCUCUUAGAGUCUUUGGGUCUACAUGUUUUGUUCAUGAUUUUAGUCCCGAUCUUGAUAAGUUAUCUCCUAGAUCUCACAAAUGUGUCUUCUUAGGAUUUCCACGGUCACAAAAGGGCUAUAAGUAUUUUUUCCCUUUCUUCAAUCGUCAUUUUAUCUCCGCUGAUGUCACCUUUGAUGAAUCUUCAUUUUAUUUUUCACAUCUAUCUUCUAGUUCUGUACCUCUACCUACUAUUGUUGAUAUUCCUAUUGUCUGUGAUCCUUUAGACUCUCAUUCCCCAUAGGUUUAUAGUCGCCGCAAUCGUCCUUCAACUUCACCCCUUCAGGUUUAUAGUUGCCGCAAUCGUCUCCCUCAUGACUCACCUCCUGUGUCGCCUCCUGUGUCUCCUCCGGCUCUAGCAAAUGAGUUUGACCUACCUAUUGCCCUCCGUAAAGGUAUACGCUCUACUCGUAACCCUUCCCCCCAUUAUCUGUUCUUAGUUACCAUGAAUUAUCUCCAUCUUUUUACACAUGUCUCUCAUCCAUUUCUUCUGUGUCAAUUCCCAAGUCUGUGGGUGAUGCCUUAACUCAUCCUGGUUGGCGUCAAGCCAUGCUAGAUGAAUUAAGUGCUUUACAGAAAAGUGGAACUUGGGAGAUUGUCCAAUUACCAUCUGGAAAGUUUGUUGUUGGUUGUAGGUGGGUGCAUGCUAUCAAAGUUGGCCUUGAUGGUAUAAUUGAUCGUUUAAAGGCUCAACUGGUUGCCAAAGGCUACACAUAAACUUUUGGUUUGGAUUAUGGUGAUACUUUUUCUCUAGUGACGAAAAUGACCUCAGUUCGCCUAUUCAUUGCCAUGGCCGCUCUUCGACAAUGACCUCUUUACAAACUUGAUGUCAAAAAUGCUUUCCUUAAUGGUGAUUUUCAUGAAGAAAUUUAUAUGGAGCAACCGCCCGGCUUUGUUGCUCUGGGGAGUCUUCUGGAUUGGUAUGUCGUCUUCGCAAAUCCUUAUAUGGCCUAAAACAGUCUCCUCGGGCCUGGUUUGGUAAAUUAAAUAGUGUUGUUCAAAAAUUUGGUAUGUCUCGCAGUGAAGCGGAUCAUUCAGUGUUCUAUUGCCACUCAAGUGUUGGAUGUAUCUACUUUAUAGUGUAUGUUGAUGACAUUGUUCUCACAGGAAGUGGCUAUCUUGGCAUCUCUCAGAUCAAACAACACCUUUGUCACCAUUUUCAAACCAAAGAUCUUGGCAAACUCUGGUACUUUUUGGGCAUUGAAGUAGCACAAUCCAAUGAUGGUAUUAUCAUAUCUCAGAGGAAGUAUGCAUUAGAUAUCUUGGAGGAAACAGGGUUAAUGAAUUGUAAAUCUAUUGAGACACCUACGGAUCCUAACAUCAAACUCCUACCAAAUCAAGGGGAGCCUUUCUUAGAUCCUGAACGGUACAGAAGAUUAGUUGGUAAAUUAAACUAUCUACAAGUCCUGACAUUUCCUUCGCAGUUAGUGUGGUGAGUCAAUUUCUAAACUCCCCAUGUAAAGAUCAUUGGGAUGCAGUUGUUCGCAUACUGAAGUAUAUUAAAGGAUCACCUGGAAAAGGUUUGCUAUACGGUCCUAACAACGAUACAAAGAUCGUUUGUUAUUCAGAUGCUGAUUGGGCCGGUUCCCCUACUGAUAGGAGGUCUACUUCUGGAUAUUGUGUCUUUAUUGGUGGCAACCUGAUAUCUUGGAAAAGUAAGAAGCAAAGUGUUGUGGUUAGGUCCAGCGCAGAAGCAGAAUAUAGAGCUAUGGCAUCAGCUACUUGUGAGCUUGUGUGGCUUAAACAAUUACUUAGUGAAUUGAAAUUUGGAGAUAUCACUCACAUGACACUUAUAUGUGAUAAUCAAGAUGCUCUUAAUAUUAGCUCUAAUCCUGUCUUCCAUGAGAAAACCAAGCACAUUGAAGUUGAUUGCCAUUUUAUUAGAGAAAAAUUCAUAUCCGGAGAUAUCAAGACUGAGUUCGUUAACUCAAGCAACCAGUUGGCAGACAUAUUCACUAAGUCCUUGCAAGGACCUAGAAUUGACUAUCUUUGUAACAAGCUUGGAACAUAUGAUUUAUAUGCUCCAGCUUGAGGGGGAGUGUUAGAUAUUAUAUGUUUAUUAGGGAAAUAUAAUCUCUAUGCUUAUUAUUUUAUUUUCACAUAUUCAUUUGUAUUUGCGCUUAGCCCACAUUCUUAUUAUUAUAAAUACAUUAUCCUGUGUGUAUGCAAAGACACAUAAGGGAGAUUUCACCUCAUCUCUUUCACUAUUUCAUACUAAGUAACUUGAUUACUACUCUCUACAACCAAAAUUUUGUUUCAAACAAUGGAAUAUCCUCAUCACACAAAUAACACAGUAUACAACUGCAAAUACAUCCUCAUACCAUUUACAGUAAUACUAUAUAAUAAAAACACAAAUUUAACAUAUGUCAACUUUUUUCAAACCGCAAUUUUUUUUCUAAAACGUCUCGAAAAGUAGUUUUUAGAGAGAUGAUAUGUUUUAAAAUAAUGAAACUCAUUUACAAAAAUACUAUUUAUAAUAAAACCGUUUGAUGUUAAAAUAACCGAAUUUCACUAUUUUAGACUACCACUACUUUUAAAAUAUAUUUUUUGGAAUUUUACAAAUAUUGUUUUUACACCUUUCUUAAUAUAUUUUUACUGUUUAGACACUAUUUUUUUUUUCUCUUUCAUUUUUUUCAUCCUCUUUUUUAAUCCUUCCUUCCAAUUAUAAAAAUACAAUUAUAUGGUCAUUUUUUUUUUCUAGUGACAUGCUUAAUGUAGUUUUAAGAAAACAAGGAGUGAUUAACUCAAAACAUAUCAUGUGGCAAUCCCAAGAAUAGGGAUGGCAAAAAAAUCCGCGGGCACGGGUAUCCACGGGUAAAAUCCGCCGCGGGUAGUUUCUACCCGCGGAUAUUUACUACCCGCGGGUAACGCGUAGCGAAUAUUUUAAUACCCGCUUCUAAACGGGUCAGGUACGGGUAGUAUACUACCCGACCCGCGGAUACCCGUUACCCGUAAAAAAUAAUAAAAAAAAUUAAUUUAUACAUUUUUUUGAUUAAAUUUAAUUAAAAAUAAAAUAAAAUUAUAUUUAAUUAAAUUAAAUUUAAAUAAAAUUAAAUUUUAAAUUAUAUUUAAUUUAAUUUAUAUUAUAUUAUAUAUAUAUUUUUUGUAAUUUUAUUUAAAUUUUAUUUUAAAAUGUAAAAAAUAUUUUUUUUUUAUUUUUUGCAGGUAUCCGCGGGUACCCACAGGUUUUAAAAUACCCGCAGUUAUUUUUUAAACGGGUACUCGACGGGUAACAGGUCGGAUGACGGGUACAUUUUUAUCGACGAGUUAGGUUGCGAGUAGGCACUAUCCGUGCCAGACUCGACCCGUUGUCAUUCCUACCCAAGAACCUAUAGUAAGGGGAGAAGAAUGAUUUAAUUGUUAAUUACUAAAAUUCAACUAUAAUCUUAAGUCUCACGAGACCUACUUGCUGCUUGGAAAAUUGACAAUGAUUUACUGUGAUACGUAAGUGAUUUAAGUCACUGUCUAUAAAGACAGUGCAGCUUAGAUAUAGCAUUAUAAUUGUUGUCAAUGUUAUUUUCAAUAAAUUUUCAAUCCAAUAUUCUGUGACUGCGAACGGAAGAAUUCAUAUUAUUUUUUAUGUCAGUAUUAUACAUAUAUAUCUGAUUAUGAAGAACAGUGUCUAUCUAACUUUUUUUCAUUCUAAACAAAAGUACAGAUAAAACUUAAAACAUUAGAUCAGAUUUAGGGAGAGAAAAAAAAAAAUAGUUUGUAUGAUGUGAUACAGAAAGAAAAUAUAGAGAAAUUAUGGUAUUGAUCAGAAACAAAAUAAUGUUUAUGUUGGAUAUGACUUGCAAAACGAAAGAAAAAAAAUCUCCAACAAGUUGCAGACAUCAUCAUAGUUUCUCUACAGUCUUGCCUAGUAUAGUGUGUCAUUUACUUGCUCAACUACACUCCAUAAUGGCAUUGAAUUCAUUCAACUACUCCACAAGAACAGCCACAUGACUGUUAAAGCUUAGCCCCAUGCCCUUCUGCCUCUAUAUAACCACAACCACCAUAUAGCAUUCCAAAGCACCUCACCACAGAAAAAAGGUCCCAAACACAUAGUUACUACACUACCUUCCAUAUCUGGUUCUUGAAGGAGUUGAGUGCUUCAUCAUGGCUACCAUGACAGCUAGGGUUUCUUUGUUGGCCAUUGUGUGCAUGGUUCUUAGUGCAACAACCAUUCCCAAGGCAGAAGCAGUGGUGACAUGUGGGCAAGUUGUGAACAACCUGACCCCGUGCAUUUCCUAUGUGAUGUAUGGUGGAUACCCUGUUCCUGAGCAGUGCUGCAAUGGGAUCAAGAACCUCUAUGGCCUGGCUCAGACCAAACCUGAUCGCCAAGCAGUUUGCAACUGCAUCAGGAAUGCUGUUACUAACAGUGGCUUCAACUACUCUCCUCGCAAUCUCAACCUUGCAGCUAGUCUUCCCAAGCAAUGUGGUGUAAACAUUCCUUAUCAGAUCAGCCCUAGUA
rnacentral:lncRNA from 1 species